rnacentral:lncRNA from 1 species
AAAAAAAUUAAAACACAUUGAAGUACACCACGGAUAUAUAAGUGCAAAAGCAUCAUGAGAACAUAAGGAACGCAUACAUGCAACAUAUGUUGUUCUGACUCUUCAAUAUAUCAAUGGGUGCAUGUCAAAGAGUCUCGAAAAGCAGUGUGCUUUGGAGGAUUCAAUAUGGGUGCAAAAAUAUUUUUAGAGAGUUCAAGCAAUAUAAUCGAAAACCACUGCAUUGAAUGCAUUCAUAUCUUGUCUGACCAUAUCAAACACACAAGGAGGUCUCUCUGCUUGAGCUCCCUGUACCCUGGUAGCCUGAGUAGUAGCCCGACUGAUUGAGAUGGUGUUUGAAUGAUAGUUGAAGUCCUUCCUUGGUCUUCAUGCACUAACCAUAAUGAGCUUCCCACAUAGCUUACAAGUGUGGGUCCCUGCACGAGAUGAACCACCAUGCUUAUGAUGUUGUUGAUGCCCCUAGUAGGAUGGUGAAACAUUGAAAGAAGAAAAUACAGCUGAUUGGUUUGGUCUUGAAGAACCUUACCAUGAGCACCCUAUCCCCAUUGGAGCAUUAUUAAUAGGUGUACUAUGACAAGCUUUUCUCCCAUCUCUCUUUAUACAAGCAAGAUCAUAUAGAUGAAUUUAUGAGGGUGGAAGUUGGACCCGCGACAUGGUGUGAUACGAGAAUGACAAUGGAAGACACAAAACACACUCCAAAUCAGUCCACAAUCUUAAGGAUC